GAUGAACGCUGGCGGCGUGCCUAAUACAUGCAAGUCGAGCGGUAAGGCUCCUGCAGAUUGUUCGAUAUACACAGAUAGGGAAGGCUCCUGAUUCUGAUCGAAUAAUGUGCUGGAGUACACGAGCGGCGGACGGCUGAGUAACACGUAGGAACGUACCCCAAACUGAGGGAUAAGCACCAGAAAUGGUGUCUAAUACCGCAUGUGCUCUCGGAGUAAAGCUACGGCGGUUUGGGAACGGCCUGCGUAAGAUUAGCUAGUUGGUGAGGUAAUAGCUCACCAAGGCGACGAUCUUUAGCUGGUCUGAGAGGAUGAUCAGCCAGACUGGGACUGAGAACGGCCCAGACUCCUACGGGAGGCAGCAGUAGGGAAUUUUCCACAAUGGACGCAAGUCUGAUGGAGCAACGCCGCGUGCAGGA
rnacentral:rRNA from 1 species